rnacentral:rRNA from 1 species
CACGUAGGGUGCGAGCGUUUGUCCGGAAUUAUUGGGCGUAAAGAGCUCGUAGGCGGUGUGUCGCGUCGGCCGUGAAAACCUGCAGCUUAACUGUGGGCUUGCGGUCGAUACGGGCAUCACUGGAGUUCGGCAGGGGAGACUGGAAUUCCUGGUGUAGCGGUGAAAUGCGCAGAUAUCAGGGAGGGAACACCGGUGGGCCGAAGGCGGGUCUCUGGGGCC